GUGCCAGCAGCCGCGGUAAGACAGAGGAUGCAAACGUUGCUCGGAAUUACUGGGCGUAAAGCGCGUGUAGGCGGUUCCGCGAGUCGGGUGUGAAAGCCCGGGGCUCAACCCCGGAAGGGCACUCGAUACUACGGAGCUGGAGUACUGAAGAGGAGAGCGGAAUUCCCGGUGUAGAGGUGAAAUUCGUAGAUAUCGGGAGGAACACCAGUGGCGAAGGCGGCUCUCUGGGCAGAUACUGACGCUGAGACGCGAAAGCGUGGGGAGCAAACAGGAUUAGAUACCCCCGUAGUCC
rnacentral:rRNA from 1 species